UAUGGAAGAAAGAGAUAGGAAAGCUAUUAUUUCCUGGGUUGCUUGCCUGGCUGGGAUUAGAAGACCAAGUCUAUCAUAUUUGCCCUGGCAUUGCCUCUGAAGAAACUAAAUCCCAAGGAGGUGUAAACCUACAGGAUUUGUUUUGUCCUGAUCACAACAUGAACAACAGAAUGUUGCAGCAGACACAUAUACAGGGCAGAUUGUCCAGGUGCUUACCAGACUCACUGAAAGUAAAGGAAGUUUGCUGUCAGAGUUCUUGACUUCAUCAAAAAUUUGGGAUGUGACCAGCACUUAGCCUGCAGGACGCAUGAGUGUUGCUGCUGAAGCUCACUGUGAUAGUGCCUGUGCUGUCUACAUCUGAUCAACACACAUUUCUGUGACCUCUUCUGAGAUGCAUGUAGCUGUUUGUCAAUGCAUACAAUGCUGUGCAUACUCUGCCUUGCACAGUGCUGUGAGCAGGGAGCUAAGCCUGGCAUGAGUGCUGCAGAGGCUUCUCUAGCCAGAAUUCCUGGCAAGAAUUUUAAGGAAGUUUGCUUGCAAUUAGCUGAUAUAAGGAUAUAAGCAGUGAUUACUUGCAGCAGAGAGCACAGUAAGCCAUUGUCAAACUGUAAUGGGAAAAGAAGAUGGUAUUUGUGAAGAGAAACUAAGUAUUUUAUUGUGACUGUUCUUUAUUCUCAACCGUUUACAAAAUUAAAGCAAAGUACAAAUGCUAUUGUUGGUGGUGUUGCCCUUGACUGUUUUUCAGUUAGCAUUAAGCCGUGUCUUUUAACAAAUGUAUAAGAAAUACAAGUAAAAAUUUGCUUAAAACUAUUAUAAAUUUUGUUUUGGUCAUCACUGUGAAAAAAGUCUUGUUCUGUCUCUCUGAAUCAGCAGUUUGUUAGUAAAGACUCAUCAUAUGAAAAUAAUUGCUCUGGAUGCAUAACGUUUAAAAAGUACUUGGCAAAUCAGGUAUCACAGAAAGCUGGAUAACAUGCUGGAGCCUCUCUGUGCUGUGGUCUGGGCUGUAUUAGAAGCAUGUGCCCACACACCGCAGCUCUGAGUUCAGAUACCAUUGAAUGUGGGCAGAUCAUGGUAAGAUAGCUAAAUAGUUUCUGCCCAUCUCUGUUCUACUUCUUUCCUGAAAGCUUGUAUUUCCCUGAUAAGGAGAGGUAAAGAGCCUGAAAGUGCCUUUAAAAUUGCAUGGACUAAAGGUACAGAAGGUGGCUGAGGUGUCAUUCCUUUGUGAAAUGUGUGUCACUGGACAAAAGGGAGGAAGCAACUGAAAACAAAACGAGGUCUGAAGUUCUGCACGGCCAUCACUUCCUCUCUUGUACAGGGCAGAUAGAACCUAUUUCAUUUAUUAUUAAAACUCCUGCUGAAUUUCUAGAAAUUGAUAUCAGGUAAGAAUAUAUUUUGCAUGGAAAAGUGCUGUAGGAUACCGGUGUGGAGAAUGUGGCAGCCAACAACUGUGGGAGUGUUUUUAUUUCAUCUAAGUUUGAAAUAGGAGAACAGGAUAGACUGCUGAAAGCAACUCUAGCAAGGCAAUAUCCAGUAUCAAGAGAACAAAAUCCUUUUGUUUUCUGACCUCAACCUCAUCAAACAAACCAAGAGAAAAGUAUUACUGAACUGGAGGAAUCUGUUUACUGGAAAGACUGGCUUUACAAUGGCAUCUUACAGUACAGAUGAUGUAGGAACAGAACAGCUCCCUUCUAGAAAAGUGAAGCAGCAAUGAUGUACAGAUGACAGCACAGUCAAUGGAAAAGCAUGAAUUACAAAUUAAACCUUGUCAAUAAUUUUGAUUCCUUUAUUUAGCUGACAGCUGUACCUAAAAUUUUCUGUUACACUGAGGUAAGGUGUUUCAAGGACUGUUUAACUGACACGUGCGUUUAAUUUUAUGUGAAAUGUCCCCGUUUAAUAUGCUUGUGCCUUCAAAAAUUAAUGCUGUGGUUGAGUGAAUAAUGGUGAAAAAUACCUAUCAAAAAUUAAUGUUAGUUUUCUAUAAUGCAGAGUUAACGAAGCUAAAUGUUUCUCAGUGCUUUCCUGCAGUGAACGCUGGAAGCUCCUGAUCACCUUGCUGUAAAGUCAAAGACUUUCUUUAGUAUUUCUGCUGUUUUCCCUACCAAACAGGCUUCAUUAUAUGGAUAUUUUUAUGCUCUGUAUCUUAAUGUUCUUUGGUAUAUGUAAUUAAUCAUCUAAGCUAUGUACUUUGCCUCUUGACUGAAUGAUACACUUUUGAACUAGGAAAAAUAUCGUGUAUAAUAAAUAAUGCUUUUUCACAUUA